GUGUCAGCAGCCGCGGUAAGACGGAGGGUGCAAGCGUUGUUCGGAAUUACUGGGCGUAAAGCGUACGUAGGCGGCGGGUUAAGUCGAAUGUUAAAGCCUGGGGCUCAACCCCAGAGAUGCAUUCGAUACUGGCUUGCUAGAGGUUGAUAGAGGAAAGCGGAAUUCCGAGUGUAGCGGUGAAAUGCGUAGAUAUUCGGAGGAACAUCAGUAGCGAAGGCGGCUUUCUGGGUCACACCUGACGCUAAGGUACGAAAGCGUGGGGAGCAAACGGGAUUAGAUACCCCGGUAGUCCACGCCGUAAACGAUGGAUACUAGGUGUAGCGGGUAUCGACCCCUGCUGUGCCGUAGCAAACGCGUUAAGUAUCCCGCCUGGGGAGUACGUUCGCAAGAAUGAA
rnacentral:rRNA from 1 species